rnacentral:sRNA from 1 species
ACAUUUUUCUUUAUUUUUU